GCAGGCGGCUGGAUGAUCGCUGCCUCCCGCGGGCUCGCCCGUCGGGAGGGGGAGGAAAGUCCGGACUCCGCAGGGCAGUGUGCCGGAUAACGUCCGGGAUCUGUGCCGCAAGGCACAGAGACGGCCAGUGCAACAGAAAACAAACCGCCUUCGCAGGAUGGCCGGCGCAAGCCAGCCAUGCACGCCCGCAAAGGUAAGGGUGAAAUGGUGCGGUAAGAGCGCACCGGGCCCCCAGUAAUGGAGGUCGCAUGGUAAACCCCACACGGAGCAAGACCAAAUAGGCAGGGAUCGAGUCCGCCCUCUCCAGCGGACGCGAGCGUAUCGGCCCGAUGCGCCCAGGCGGAGAGACCACGCGAGAGCGCAAGCUCAAAGCGAGGAGCCGAAACCUGCGGGUAGGUUGCUGGAGCGUCGCGGCGACGCGGCGCCUAGAGGAAUGAUCGUCUAAAACAGAAUCCGGCUUACGGGCCGCCUGCAUUU
rnacentral:RNase_P_RNA from 1 species